rnacentral:rRNA from 1 species
GGAUCAUUAUAGAGUUAUAAAAUACUCCCAACCCAUGUGAACAUUACCUUUGUUGCCUCGGCGGAGAUCAAAAUCCGCCGGUGGUCCACUAAACUCUUGUUUUAUUAUAAGCAUCUGAGUGUUUUACUAUAAUAAGUUAAAACUUUCAACAACGGAUCUCUUGGUUCUGGCAUCGAUGAAGAACGCAGCGAAAUGCGAUAAGUAAUGUGAAUUGCAGAAUUCAGUGAAUCAUCGAAUCUUUGAACGCACAUUGCGCCCAUUAGUAUUCUAGUGGGCAUGCCUGUUCGAGCGUCAUUUCAACCCUUAAGCUUAACUGCUUAGUGUUGGGAAUUUACAGCUUACCCUGUAACUCCUGAAAGUUAGUGGCAGCGUUAGGGCAUUCUCUAAGCGUAGUAACUUAUUCUCGCUUCUGUAAAUGUCUUGACGGUCGCCAUAAAUGGAGGAAACUCCAAUUAAUUCUAAUGGUUGACCUCGGAUCAGGUAGGAAUACCCGCUGAACUUAAGCAUAUCAAUAAGCGGAGGAAAAGAAACCAACAGGGAUUGCCCUAGUAACGGCGAGUGAAGCGGCAACAGCUCAAAUUUGAAAUCUGGCCUUCUGGUCCGAAUUGUAAUUUGUAGAGGAUGCUUUUGGUGCGGUACCUUCCAAGUUCCCUGGAACGGGACGCCUUAGAGGGUGAGAGCCCCGUACGGUUGGUUACCAAGCCUCUGUAAAGCUCCUUCGACGAGUCGAGUAGUUUGGGAAUGCUGCUCUAAAUGGGAGGUAAAUUUCUUCUAAAGCUAAAUACCGGCCAGAGACCGAUAGCGCACAAGUAGAGUGAUCGAAAGAUGAAAAGCACUUUGAAAAGAGGGUUAAAUAGCACGUGAAAUUGUUGAAAGGGAAGCGCUUAUGACCAGACUUUUGCCUGGCGGAUCAUCCGGUGUUCUCACCGGUGCACUUCGCUUGGUUGAGGCCAGCAUCGAUUUUCGUAGGGGGAUAAAGACUUCGGGAACGUAGCUCUCUUCGGGGAGUGUUAUAGCCCGUUGUGUAAUACCCUUAUGGGGAUCGAG